rnacentral:misc_RNA from 1 species
AGGUAGCAUUCCUCASCGACGUCAGYCCGACUCCGRACSSAGCCACGGGGGCACGGCCGRAGACCGAAYCGACGGUCGUUCGCACGAAGCGUWGAACGCUUUUUUGUAGCAGCACAGGACGGGAAUGGAACWAUGGUAGCCGAUAGAAUGCCCUCRUGAUAGGUAUGCAGCACAGGAAAAMCGACGUCGGACGAGCACUUGCUCGUGCCAACAACUGAAGAGACGCGGACGGGAUGCCGUCGCUGCCCGAGCAGGGAUCCGACAUG